AAUAGAUUUUUAGUGAGUCUUCUAAACUUAUUUUGACUUUUGUGGUCGUCUGUUG
rnacentral:tRNA from 1 species